GGCCGGUUGGCCUAAUGGUAAGGCGUUGCUUUCCGGUCAUCGGAUUUGGCAAAGAUUGCGGGUUCGAGUCCCGUGCUGGUCG
rnacentral:tRNA from 1 species